rnacentral:rRNA from 1 species
AUGCACGCUGGCGGCGUGCCUAAUCCCUGCCAGUCGAGCGAACGGACGAGAAGCUUGCUUCUCUGAUGUUAGCGGCGGACGGGUGAGUAACACGUGGAUAACCUACCUAUAAGACUGGGAUAACUUCGGGAAACCGUAGCUAAUACCGGAUAAUAUUUUGAACCGCAUGGUUCAAAAGUGAAAGACGGUCUUGCUGUCACUUAUAGAUGGAUCCGCGCUGCAUUAGCUAGUUGGUAAGGUAACGGCUUACCAAGGCAACGAUGCAUAGCCGACCUGAGAGGGUGAUCGGCCACACUGGAACUGAGACACGGUCCAGACUCCUACGGGAGGCAGCAGUAGGGAAUCUUCCGCAAUGGGCGAAAGCCUGACGGAACAACGCCGCGUGAGUGAUGAAGGUCUUCGGAUCGUAAAACUCUGUUAUUAGGGAAGAACAUAUGUGUAAGUAACUGUGCACAUCUUGACGGUACCUAAUCAGAAAGCCACGGCUAACUACGUG